AUUGAACGCUGGCGGCAGGCUUAACACAUGCAAGUCGAGCGGGGAAAGGUAGCUUGCUACCUGACCUAGCGGCGGACGGGUGAGUAAUGCUUAGGAAUCUGCCUAUUAGUGGGGGACAACAUUCCGAAAGGAAUGCUAAUACCGCAUACGCCCUACGGGGGAAAGCAGGGGAUCUUCGGACCUUGCGCUAAUAGAUGAGCCUAAGUCAGAUUGAGCUAGUUGGUGGGGUAAAGGCCUACCAAGGCGACGAUCUGUAGCGGGUCUGAGAGGAUGAUCCGCCACACUGGGACGGAGACACGGCCCAGACGCCUGCGGGAGGCAGCAGUGGGGAAGAGUGGACAAUGGGCGAAAGCCUGAUCCAGCCAUGCCGCGUGUGUGAAGAGGGCCUUUUGGUUGUAAAGCACUCUAAGCGAGGAGGAGGCUACCGAGAUUAAUACUCUUGGAUAGUGGACGUUGCUCGCAGAAUAAGCACCGGCUAACUCUGUGCCAGCCGCCGCCGUAAGAC
rnacentral:rRNA from 1 species